UGCGCUAUCUCACUAUCUCACUCUCACACGCAGACAACCCACCACAUCUCCUGCCAUCUCUCCCUCCAGCCUCUCUCCGCCCAGCCCAGCCCAGCCCAGCCUUGUCUCCCCUUCGCCCAGGGUCGUGUGGUGAUUUUCGGUGUGGUUGGGUGCCGUGGAUGGCUCGUGUGGUGGGUUUCGGCGUGGCUGGGUCGAUCGGUGCAGUGGAAUUCAGGACAACAGUGUACUAAUUUCCUUCGUAAUUUAAUUUAACACUGCCAUUCAGAAUUCAAAAGCUUAAUAAAAGUGAGUGAGUGAGAGAGAGAGAUAGCUGUAUCGACUAUCGAGUAGACCUUGUCAUCCCUGACAAUGGAAUUCAGUACAGCAAGCGAUUGCAAGUAUUCAUGCGACACAGCUGCACAUACUCUCCACUGGAUCAACGCCAUCAUCCACUUCCUUAAACCCUUCACUUUCUUCAUGCACGCCCACGUCGUCAAUUUCUUCAAGGAUAGACUAUGGGAAUCUGUUGAUAAAGAAUGGAUGGAUUGUCUGCGCAAUGAACCUGUUGAAAAUCUUCUCCUCAUUCCCUCUGGAGUUGUCCAGGAUCACUGGCCUGCUUCACUGAAGGAUUUUAUAGUGACUUUGAGGUCUCUUGUGUUUCCAAGAGAGCAGGCGGACUUACAGACGAUAUUACCUGGUCUGCAUGUAAUUUCACUUAAUAGCGUUCUUGCUCAAGGCAUGAAUAUGAAGAAAAAACAUGAAGUUGAAGUUCUUUCUGCUGUUGUUAAUUCGAUUGCUGACAGUGCAAGACGUCAUACCAUUGUUGAUGUUGGUGCUGGCCAGGGUUAUCUUGCACAAGUUCUUUCCUUUCAGUACCAACACUCUGUAGUUGCAAUUGAUGCAUGUUCUCAUCAUGGAAGCAUCGCAGAUGCACGUGCAGAACGAAUUAAGAAGCAUUAUGCAGCUCAGAUGCGUAAAUCUGAAACUGGAAACUGGAGUUUGAAUGUGCCUAAGACAAUCACAUGCCGGGUAAUGUCUAUUGGCAUGUUGAAAGCCUUGACUGGCAUGUCUCUUCAUAAAGAUGAUGCUGAGCAACUUAGAUCGUUUGAAGAAGAUAAUGCACAACUUGAAGGAGAAAAAUUAAAAUCUUCAUGCAAUGCAAACAAUGAUACUUCUUUGGUCCUUGCUGGACUUCAUGCUUGUGGAGAUCUUUCAGUGACAAUGCUAAAGACCUUUUUGGACUGCAAAGAAGUUAAAGCUAUUGUUAGCAUUGGCUGUUGUUACAACUUAUUGUCGGAAGAGGGUAUUGUCAAAACUGAAACUCAAUGUGGAUUUCCAAUGAGUGCUGGUGUUAAGUCUGCAUGCUUUUCACUUGGAAAAAAUUCGCGUGAUCUUGCUUGCCAGUAUGUUUGCCCCUACAGGGUGUACUUACAUUUAUCAUGUCUUAGACCCGGUUGUAUUUUUUUUCUUUCUGUUAAGAGUGCAGAGAGAUGGAGAGGUAUGGAAAAAGAUGCCGGCCUUCACAAUUUUGAGUUGCAUUGUUUUCGUGCUGCUUUCCAGAUGGUUCUUUGUAAAUAUUAUCCAGAAGUCAUGAUAACAAAUCCUUCUAUUGGUCGUCAAGGAAAGACUUUGCGUCGCCGACAGCAUAGGAAAGUGGAGUAUCCAUUGAAUCAUAAAGAAAUUGCGUGUCCAUCCUUGCAUUCAAACACGAAAGGAAGUUGCCGUAACAUAGAACCUAAAGAACUGGAAACAGAUAAAAACUCAGGCUUGGCAUUGGACACAGAUGUCUUAUUUCAUGGACAUUCUUCCAGUAAGAGUACAAGAUGUGAAGGGCCUAAAUCUGUUGACAAAUAUGCACUUUUUGAGAAGUUCAGCCAGUCUGGAUUGUGUCGUCUUGGUCUCAAACCUUCCCAGGAUAUAAAGUUCCAUGAAAUAUGGAAGGAAGCAGAGCCAUUUGCAGAACUCGUAGGACCUUACUGGUCUCUUCGAGCUGCUUUGGGGCCUCUUUUAGAAACUUUUCUUCUGCUUGAUAGAUUACUAUUCCUCCAGGAGCAAGGCAGUUCAUUGGAAGUGAUCAUGUUGCCUAUUUUUGAUCCAGAGGUAUCCCCAAGGAACGUGGCCAUAAUUGCAAAAAAGAUUUUGACACAAAUAUGACUCCUUAGGCAAGGGAGAUCAAGAAAAAAGAUUAUGCAAUGUGAGAAAAGGGGUCUUUCGUAAAGCAUAGAAACAUUGCUUAUUGGAAGGUUGUGUGACAUAGCAUUAUGUGGUGUCUUUGGCAAGAACGGAAUUCCAAAAAUUUUGAGGGAUGUGAACGGAAUAUCCUAGACAUUAAAGCCUUCUUCUUCCAUACUUUGUUGGAUUAGAGUGCUGCUUCUCUCUCUCUCCCCCUUGUUUUUCUCUCUUGCACUUGUUUGAUCAUUGUUUUUUUCUAAUAAAUUUUUUUUAAAAAAAGGAUUCUUAAGGCUUUUAGAGAACAGUUAACUUGCAUGCAGAUUAUAGCAUCUUGUAAGUAAUUUGUAAAGCCCCAGUAUUUCAUUAUUUGUCAAAUUUGAAUCAGUUUAUUUCUCUUGUCAGAAAGAUUUCUAAAAAUUACAGACAGUUAAUGCUAUUUGUGAGGAGCCUAGAAAGAGCAUUAGAUAUCAGAGCUUCUUUCUGGUUUCAAAAUAUCAAUGCAUACAUGUAUAGCAGUGUAUGUGCGGCCAUGGGUAUAUGUACUUGUGUGUGUGCAUUAUAUACACAUUUCUAAUGUGGUUGUAGAAGUGAAAUCUGUAUUUGUUACAUUUUCGGUACAAUCUAUGCAUUCUCACUAUGAUCUAUAUAGGGCCGCUGCUAUGUUUUUCUUUACAUUGCAUUUUAAACCAAAUAUGUGUUGCUUGUGCGUUUAAAAAAGAGCCAAUACACCUCUGACUUGUUUUUUGAUAUACGACUCCGCUUACUUGUUUGUUCUGCUCAGAAACUCAAUAAAUACAAUAGGAUUUUUCCUAAACGCCAACUGAAAUCAUAUACUUAAAAGGAACUCACUCUAUAGGAAUUUUUGUAUUUUUCAUUAAUAACUUGUCAGUUGUCACCAACUAUAAAAAUUGCCAGU